GUAAGGGAUAUUGCACAAUGGGGGAAACCCUGAUGCAGCAACGCCGCGUGGGCGAAGAAGGCCUUCGGGUUGUAAAGCCCUUUUCUAUGGGAAGAGCAAGGACGGUACCAUAGGAACAAGUCUCGGCUAACUACGUGCCAGCAGCCGCGGUAAGACGUAGGAGGCGAGCGUUAUCCGGAUUUAUUGGGCGUAAAGGGCAAGUAGGCGGUAAGGAAAGUCAGGUGUGACAUCUCCCGGCUCAACUGGGAGGGAGCGCUUGAAACUACUUUACUUGAGGGCAGAAGAGGGGGGUGGAACUUCUAGUGUAGCGGUGGAAUGCUCAGAGACUAGGAAGAACACCAGUGGCGAAGGCGACCCCCUGGUCUGCACCUGACGCUGAGAGGCGAAAGCUAGGGGAGCGAACGGGCUUAGAAACCCGGGUAGUCC
rnacentral:rRNA from 1 species